AUGAACGCUGGCGGCGUGCCUAAUCCAUGCAAGUCGAGCGAACAGACGAGGAGCUUGCUCCUCUGACGUUAGCGGCGGACGGGUGAGUAACACGUGGAUAACCUACCUAUAAGACUGGGAUAACUUCGGGAAACCGGAGCUAAUACCGGAUAAUAUAUUGAACCGCAUGGUUCAAUAGUGAAAGACGGUUUUGCUGUCACUUAUAGAUGGAUCCGCGCCGCAUUAGCUAGUUGGUAAGGUAACGGCUUACCAAGGCAACGAUGCGUAGCCGACCUGAGAGGGUGAUCGGCCACACUGGAACUGAGACACGGUCCAGACUCCUACGGGAGGCAGCAGUGGGGAAUCUUCCGCAAUGGGCGAAAGCCUGACGGAGCAACGCCGCGUGAGUGAUGAAGGUCUUCGGAUCGUAAAACUCUGUUAUUAGGGAAGAACAAAUGUGUAAGUAACUAUGCACGUCUUGACGGUACCUAAUCAGAAAGCCACGGCUAACUACGUG
rnacentral:rRNA from 1 species